GUCUUAAACUACAGAUGAAGUAAUCCAUCGCUGCCUUCUUACUUUUGUUCUUACUUUCCAAGACGACGAUUCAGAUUGAUCUCCUCAAGAUGACGAUUCAAUCCAUCACUAUCAUGUCAUAUAUAUCAAUCCAUCGCUCCACUUCCAUCGUCAUCCAUCGCUCCUCUUACUCGAAUCAGAUCUUCUUUAUAAACUUCCUCGUGUCAUCCUUUUAAUGUUGAAGAAGAAUGAUUGCUUGCGUACAGUAAUUGACGCACUGGUGUUGGACCUUUGUAGUUGGUGGAAUUCCAGGAGAUUUUAACGUGAAGAUGUAUCAGUGGCUAUGACUAGCUAGAGUAAAGACUAACAAUUGCUCGAAUAGUUGGGCUAUAUUCAUGAUUUGUUGAUUGUUUUUAAAUUUUAUUAAUUUCUUUAAUGUUUAAAUGUAAGAGCUUUCCUUUAGACUCAUACCUGCAUAGAUGCCAAAUGAAUUAUAAUACCAAAUGCUAAAUGUUUGAAUGUAAGAACUUUCCUUAAUGUUUAAAUGAAGCUGCCUGAAUUCAUUUGGGAAUCUGGACAGUUCUUGAA